rnacentral:rRNA from 1 species
UACGAAGGGGGCUAGCGUUGCUCGGAAUCACUGGGCGUGAAGGGUGCGUAGGCGGGUCUUUAAGUCAGGGGUGAAAUCCUGGAGCUCAACUCCAGAACUGCCUUUGAUACUGAGGAUCUUGAGUUCGGGAGAGGUGAGUGGAACUGAGAGUGUAGAGGUGAAAUUCGUAGAUAUUCGCAAGAACACCAGUGGCGAAGGCGGCUCACUGGCCCGAUACUGACGCUGAGGCACGAAAGCGUGGGGAGCAAACAGG